CCUAAAGUAGAAUGACACUUGUCCGCUAAAGUAGAAUGACGAGUGUCCUAACUCUAAACAUACAGGGUGUAUAAAAAAAAAGGUAAUCGAACUUCAGCGCGCUAUUAUAUGUGAAUUACUCGGCGUAUGAACAAUUGGUUUUCAUAUUCGGAAAGAUCAGGCUUUUAGCUUUUGAAUGACAUGCUUUUCAUGCCAAGAGGAGAAAAAAUAAGCAUGUACGAGGCAGAUUAAAAAUGUUAGUCAAAAUCGCAUAUUUUCACCUCUGUGCCUAAUUAAAACAAUGCAUAACAAAAGGAAAAGCAAUUAAUCACGAACGUGUCGUAGC